rnacentral:rRNA from 1 species
GUGGGGAAUUUUGGACAAUGGGGGCAACCCUGAUCCAGCCAUCCCGCGUGUGCGAUGAAGGCCUUCGGGUUGUAAAGCACUUUUGGCAGGAAAGAAAUCGCACGGGAUAAUACCUCGUGUGGAUGACGGUACCUGCAGAAUAAGCACCGGCUAACUACGUGCCAGCAGCCGCGGUAAUACGUAGGGUGCAAGCGUUAAUCGGAAUUACUGGGCGUAAAGCGUGCGCAGGCGGUUCGGAAAGAAAGAUGUGAAAUCCCAGGGCUUAACCUUGGAACUGCAUUUUUAACUACCGGGCUAGAGUGUGUCAGAGGGGGGUGGAAUUCCGCGUGUAGCAGUGAAAUGCGUAGAUAUGCGGAGGAACACCGAUGGCGAAGGCAGCCCCCUGGGAUAACACUGACGCUCAUGCACGAAAGCGUGGGGAGCAAACAGGAUUAGAUACCCUUGUAGUCC